rnacentral:rRNA from 1 species
UACGAAGGGGGCUAGCGUUGCUCGGAAUCACUGGGCGUAAAGGGUGCGUAGGCGGGUUUUUAAGUCAGGGGUGAAAUCCUGGAGCUCAACUCCAGAACUGCCUUUGAUACUGAAGAUCUUGAGUCCGGGAGAGGUGAGUGGAACUGCGAGUGUAGAGGUGAAAUUCGUAGAUAUUCGCAAGAACACCGGUGGCGAAGGCGGCUCACUGGCUCGUAACUGACGCUCAUGCACGACAGCGUGGGGAUCAAACAGG